GCGCGGGUGGUGGAAUUGGUAGACACGCUGGUCUCAGAAGCCAGUGAGUAACAUCGUGGGGGUUCAAGUCCCCCCUCGCGCACCA
rnacentral:tRNA from 1 species